rnacentral:rRNA from 1 species
CCUGGCUCAGGAUGAACGCUAGCGGCAGGCUUAACACGUGCAAGUCGAGGGGCAUCGGGAGUAGCAAUACUUGCCGGCGACCGGCGCAAGGGUGCGUAACGCGUGAGCAACAUGCCCGUAUCAGGGGGAUAAUCCAUGGAAACGUGGUCUAAUACCCCAUAGUAAUUAUGUAAGGCAUCUUAUAUAAUUUAAAGCUUUGGUGGAUACGGAUUGGCUCGCGUGACAUUAGCUAGAUGGUAAGGUAACGGCUUACCAUGGCUACGAUGUCUAGGGGUUCUGAGAGGAAGGUCCCCCCACACUGGAACUGAGACACGGUCCAGACUCCUACGGGAGGCAGCAGUGAGGAAUAUUGGACAAUGGAUGGAAAUCUGAUCCAGCCAUGCCGCGUGCAGGAAAGACGGCCCUAUGGGUUGUAAACUGCUUUUGUAUGGGAGCAAUAAGGGCUACGCGUAGUCCGAUGAGAGUACCAUACGAAUAAGCACCGGCUAACUCCGUGCCAGCAGCCGC